AAAAUAUUUAAAAUAAGAAUAAUAUUUAAAAAUUUAAAUAAAAAAUUAAAUCAGAUCAAGAUGCAGAUUAUAAUUAAGAAUAUAAUGGAUUACAAUGAAUUUAUUUAUAUGAAUAUUAAUUUGUAAUAAUUAAUUGAAAGUGGAUUUAAAUGUAAUUUUAUUUAAUUUAUUAAAAUGAUUAAAAAUUAAGAUAUGUACAUAUUGCCCGUCGCUUUCAUUAAUAAAUUGGAAUAAGUCGUAACAAAGUAGAGGUACUGGAAAGUGUUUCUAGAAAUACC
rnacentral:rRNA from 1 species